rnacentral:rRNA from 1 species
GUGGGGAAUUUUGGACAAUGGGCGAAAGCCUGAUCCAGCCAUGCCGCGUGCAGGAUGAAGGCCUUCGGGUUGUAAACUGCUUUUGUACGGAACGAAAAGACUCCUUCUAAUAAAGGGGGUCCAUGACGGUACCGUAAGAAUAAGCACCGGCUAACUACGUGCCAGCAGCCGCGGUAAUACGUAGGGUGCAAGCGUUAAUCGGAAUUACUGGGCGUAAAGCGUGCGCAGGCGGUUAUAUAGGACAGAUGUGAAAUCCCCGGGCUCAACCUGGGAACUGCAUUUGUGACUGUAUAGCUAGAGUACGGUAGAGGGGGAUGGAAUUCCGCGUGUAGCAGUGAAAUGCGUAGAUAUGCGGAGGAACACCGAUGGCGAAGGCAAUCCCCUGGACCUGUACUGACGCUCAUGCACGAAAGCGUGGGGAGCAAACAGGAUUAGAAACCCCAGUAGUCC